GACGAACGCUGGCGGCGUGCUUAACACAUGCAAGUCGAGCGGUAAGGCCCUUUCGGGGGUACGACGAGCGGCGAACGGGUGAGUAACACGUGGGUGACCUGCCCUCAGCUCUGGGAUAAGCCUGGGAAACUGGGUCUAAUACUGGAUAUGACUCCACGGUGCAUGUCGUGGGGUGGAAAGCCUUGUGCGGCUGAGGAUGGGCCCGCGGCCUAUCAGCUUGUUGGUGGGGUGANGGCCUACCAAGGCGACGACGGGUAGCCGGCCUGAGGGGGCGACCGGCCACACUGGGGACUGAGACACGGCCCAGACUCCUACGGGAGGCAGCAGUGGGGAAUCUUGCGCAAUGGGCGAAAGCCUGACGCAGCGACGCCGCGUGAGGGAUGACGGCCU
rnacentral:rRNA from 1 species